AGUCCAUGUUACUGUAUGUACAGUAGAAAGAAGGAAUUAUUUUAUUAAAUGAAGUCUGGUUUAUCAUUACUUCACAAAGAAUGGAAAUCUGAAUGGAGAAGAACAGCUGCUGCAGGAAGUGGCUGAAAAUUAUAAACAGAGACAGUUCAUAGGACACUGUUCAAUGAAACCCAGUUGGAUGCUGACACAUGGUAAGUUUUAAAUGAAUCGGUCCAAGGUGAAUUUUGGGCACUGUGCUCCAAAGUGAACAUCUGCUGGUCUGCAGCCUGCAUCACUAUCAUCCAGAGAUGUUACUGGACAGAGACUAGUCAGUCUGGAAUAACAGCUUGGAGCAAGUCCCGGACUAAGUCUGUAACGGCUCCAGGCUCUUCACUCAGAACUUCUGCUCCAUCUCUCUCACCUGGACAUUUUGCUGCUUGUACAGUGAGCUCUCCUUGUGUGGAACUCCUUAAAGGUCAACAUGUUCCCAUCCCUGUCAUUCCAAGCCACAGAUCACCCAGACAUCAUGUGUCUGAAGGCAGGUAUCAUCAGAGAGCUAACACCUGGCCCCCCUGCCCCCCCGGCCUCUUGCCUCUACUGAAGCCCCUCCUGACCAAGCUUCUGUCAGGACGGCUCUGCUCAACGCUCGCUCCCUUACCAACAAGACAUUUCUUCUCAAAGAUGGAUUUUUUUAGGGAAAAUUUUGAUUUUUGGAUCCUUACUGAAACCUGGCAGAGGAAUACCGAGUAUUCAUCCAUUAAUGAACUUUGUCCUGCAGACUGUAGCUUCAUCAGGACACCGAGGCUGUCAGGCCGUGAUGGUGGUCUGGUAGUGAUUUUUAGAAAUAGCUUUAACUAUCGGUUGGUUAGGACCGAGACUGUCCUCUCAUUUAAACUCAAUAUGACUCGGAAAAAAGGAAAAUCCUGCAUUCUGCUCUUGCUGCUAACGUUUCCCUCUGGUCCUUCAUCAAGAUCUUGACGAAGGUCCAGAGGGACAGAAACGUUUUCUCUAAUAAAUGACGAUGCUGUAGCCAGAGCAGAGGGCAGGAUUUUCCUUUUUUCCAAGUUUGUGAUAUUAUCAAGUGCACCUGCACAAAAGAAUUGUUGGAUGUACAAAUUGGUUUUUCAAAUAAUCUCAAUAUGACUAAAAUUGGUAAAUCAAGUUUUUAGGCUAUUUUAAUUUACCGACCUCAUGGCCCAUCUGACCCUUUCCUGUCUGAUGUUACUGAGUUUUUAUCUUGAGUUAUAAAGUUAGACAUAGUUUUAAUUAUUAGUGAUUUCCAUGUUGAUGAUGCUUCCAAGGCUGUAUCUGAAUUUCUUGAUAUUACUGAGCUUUUUAACUUUAUACAUCAUGUUUCUGGACCCACACAUUUAAUUCAGUUUAUAUAAGAAGGGGACAAUGUCAAUGAAUAAAGGCAUGAUAAUACAGUACAUGGGUUAAAAAUGCCAAAAUUGGCCAACAGGCAAUUUAUCUUCUGUAGUCCCCUGACCUCGAUGUUAAAAGGCUUUUUAAAAUAAGAAAAAACAAAGAACAAAACAAGCAGAGCAGAACUUGGCACAACUAGUUUUAGUCCUGACAUGUAUAUGUAUUGACCUUCCAUUGUUUUAUCUGCUUAGUAAAAGACCAAAAUGUUUAAUUGUCUAAUAUGGUGUGAGAUUGAGUUCCACUCUCUUGACCCUCUGAUGGACCAAGCUGACUGACUGAAAGAACUUUUCUGCAACUAAAUAACCCAACCUUCCCUCUCUCUCCCCUUGUGACACGAUCAGUAUCUUUUCUUCUGUUUAUGUCAGCAACAAGUGGCGAUGGAGCUAGGUUGUAAGUGACUUUAUAUA